UACGUAGGCAGCAAGCGUUGCUCGGAAUGACUGGGCGUAAAGGGCGCGUAGGCGGUUUGGACAGUCAGAUGUGAAAUUCCUGGGCUCAACCUGGGGGCUGCAUUUGAUACGUUCGGACUAGAGUGGGGAAGAGGGUCGUGGAAUUCCCAGUGUAGAGGUGAAAUUCGUAGAUAUUGGGAAGAACACCGGUGGCGAAGGCGGCGACCUGGUCCUUGACUGACGCUGAGGCGCGAAAGCGUGGGGAGCAAACAGG
rnacentral:rRNA from 1 species